rnacentral:lncRNA from 1 species
GUUUAUUCCUUUUCUCUCUUAAUUUUGUGGUCAAAACAUUAUUUUUUCCCUUCCCUAUUGGAUAUUAAUAUACCAGUUCCUUUUAUUUCUUCUAUUACAUUUUUUAAAACUUUGGCUAAAAAAAAAAAUCCAGAUUAAAAUUAUCAUUUGGAGGGGGAGUGCUAGAACACUUGUUUAAGCAUGCACAGCCCCUGGAUUCAAAUCCCAGCACAGGGUGGACACACACAUACACACAUCUUUUUCCCUUUCUCCUCUUCUCCCCUCCCCCACUCCCUCGUUUUUUUUCAUGAAACCUAACCUGACUAACCUAUUUUGGUGAUAUUUUAGUUAGUAUUGUCUGCAGUGGCAAGAGAGAGCUUUUUUUUAAGAACUUGAGGGUAUGGGCUGGGAUUGUGGCUCAGUGGUAGAGGAGUUGCCUAGCACAUGUGAGGCACUGGAUUUGGUCCUCAGCACCACAUAAAAAUAAAUAAAUGAAAUAAAGGUAUUGUGUUCAUCUACAACCAAAUAAAUAAAUAAAUAAAAAUUUGAAGAUAGGGGUUAUAGGAGGAGGAGGAGGUAAAGCAUUUCAUUGGUGUAAAGCAUUUGGCCUAACAAGCACAAGGCCCUAGGUUUGAUUCCCAGCAUUCCAAGACAAAAAUCAAAACAACCCCCCACACACACACAAAAAAAAAAAAAUAAGGAAGAGUUGGUUCCAAUCCAUACUCCCAGACACUGAUUUAAUUGGUCUGUAUUUAAAUCUUUAAAAGUUUCUGAAAUUAAUCCUGGUUAAAUGCAGGCCAAGAAACUCUGAAGUUUUAAGUUCUCUUAGACUUUUGCUUAUAGUUUGUUUCUAGUUGUUAGGGGUGUAUAGUCUCAAGGUCUAGAAGCAUUUUCUGUUUUUAAAUUGUUAAAAUAACUAAAUGGCUCCAGUACCCUGGGUUCCCACAUAAACAAACUGAAAUCUAACUGUAGUCUUAACCAGACAGAAACCGUUUACUAACCUCUAACUAGGGACUUUCCACUGGCACAAGCCAAAUAAAGCUUCUGCUCCAUCUUAGCCAAUCAUAUAUUUUCUUUGCCUUGUAUCUGCUUAUCUUAGAAAAGCCAUUCCCUGUGGCCUUCAUUUUGAAGCUGCCUGCUUUUUUAGAUGAUUCUUAAAAAUUUUAAGGG